rnacentral:rRNA from 14 species
AGAUUUCCGAAUGGGGCAACCCGUCCGUAUGGACACAUAGGAGCGAACCUGCUGAACUGAAACAUCUAAGUAAGCAGAGGAAAAGAAAAUAAUAAUGAUUUCCUGAGUAGUGGCGAGCGAAAGGGAAAGAGCCCAAACCAUGUAUGUUACGGCAUAUAUGGGGUUGUAGGACUGCAAUAUGAUUAUAAGAACGAAGUUGAAUACUUCUGGAAAGUUGGACCAUAGGGGGUGAUAGUCCCGUAAACGUAAGGUCUUAUAUGAUAGCAGUAUCCUGAGUACCGCGAAGCAAGUGAAACUUUGUGGGAAUUUGCCGGUACCAUCCGGUAAGGCUAAAUACU